rnacentral:rRNA from 1 species
UACGUAGGGUGCAAGCGUUGUCCGGAAUUAUUGGGCGUAAAGAGCUCGUAGGCGGUCUGUUGCGUCGGCUGUGAAAACCCGGGGCUCAACUCCGGGCCUGCAGCCGAUACGGGCAGACUAGAGUUCGGCAGGGGAGACUGGAAUUCCUGGUGUAGCGGUGAAAUGCGCAGAUAUCAGGAGGAACACCGGUGGCGAAGGCGGGAUCCUGGGCCAGUACUGACGCUGAGGAGCGAAAGCGUGGGGAGCAAACAGG